UACGUAGGGUGCAAGCGUUAAUCGGAAUUACUGGGCGUAAAGCGUGCGCAGGCGGCUUUGCAAGACAGAUGUGAAAUCCCCCGGCUUAACCUGGGAACUGCGUCUGAUACUGGACGGCUUGAGUAUGGGAGAGGGAUGUAGAAUUCCAGGUGUAGCGGUGAAAUGCGUAGAUAUCUGGAGGAAUACCGGUGGCGAAGGCGGCAUCCUGGACCAUUACUGACGCUGAGGCGCGAAAGCUAGGGGAGCAAACGGG
rnacentral:rRNA from 1 species